rnacentral:rRNA from 1 species
UACGUAGGGGGCAAGCGUUGUCCGGAUUUAUUGGGCGUAAAGAGCUUGUAGGCGGUCUGUCGCGUCUGCUGUGAAAAUCCGGGGCUCAACCCCGGACUUGCAGUGGGUACGGGCAGACUAGAGUGUGGUAGGGGAGAUCGGAAUUCCUGGUGUAGCGGUGAAAUGCGCAGAUAUCAGGAGGAACACCGGUGGCGAAGGCGGAUCUCUGGGCCAUUACUGACGCUGAGGAGCGAAAGCGUGGGGAGCGAACAGG